GACACCAUGACGGAGUGGUUAACGUGUCAGUCUUGAAUAUCGAAAACUGAUGUGCUAUGCACGCGCAGGUUCGAAUCCUGCUGGUGUCG